rnacentral:rRNA from 1 species
UACGUAGGGGGCGAGCGUUGUCCGGAUUUAUUGGGCGUAAAGAGCUCGUAGGCGGUUCGGUAAGUCAGGUGUAAAAACUCCAGGCUCAACUUGGAGAGGCCACCUGAUACUGCCGUGACUAGAGUCCGGUAGAGGAGCACGGAAUUCCUGGUGUAGCGGUGAAAUGCGCAGAUAUCAGGAGGAACACCGGUGGCGAAGGCGGGAUCCUGGGCCAGUACUGACGCUGAGGAGCGAAAGCGUGGGGAGCAAACAGG